rnacentral:rRNA from 1 species
AGAGUUUGAUCAUGGCUCAGAAUGAACGCUGGCGGCGUGCUUAACACAUGCAAGUCGCACGAGAACGCUUCAGCUUGCUGAAGCUAGUAAAGUGGCGUACGGGUGAGUAACGCGUGGGUAAUCAACCUCUGAAUUGGGGAUAACAUUGCGAAAGCGAUGCUAAUACCGGAUAAUAUCCAUUGAACCUUGGUUUUUUGGAUCAAAGGUGGCCUCUACAUGUAAGCUACUGUUUGGAGACGAGCCCGCGUACCAUUAGCUUGUUGGUAGGGUAAUGGCCUACCAAGGCAACGAUGGUUAGCUGGUCUGAGAGGAUGAUCAGCCACACUGGAACUGACACACGGUCCAGACUCCUACGGGAGGCAGCAGUGAGGAAUUUUGCGCAAUGGGGGAAACCCUGACGCAGCAACGCCGCGUGAGUGAUGAAGGCUUUCGGGUCGUAAAGCUCUGUCAAGUGGGAAGAACCCGUGCCGCACAAAUAGUGCGGUGCGCUGACGGUACCACUGAAGGAAGCACCGGCUAACUCCGUGCCAGCAGCCGCGGUAAUACGGGGGGUGCAAGCGUUAUUCGGAAUCAUUGGGCGUAAAGAGCGCGUAGGCGGUCUUCUAUGUCAGGUGUGAAAGCCCUGGGCUCAACCCGGGAAGUGCACUUGAAACUGGGAGACUUGAGUAUGGGAGAGGGAAGUGGAAUUCCUGGUGUAGCGGUGAAAUGCGUAGAUAUCAGGAGGAACACCGGUGGCGAAGGCGGGUCUCUGGGCCGUAACUGACGCUGAGGAGCGAAAGCAUGGGGAGCGAACAGGAUUAGAUACCCUAGUAGUCC